UGUGCACCUGUAACUGAGCUGUAGAUAUCACUGCCACAAUGACUCGAGUAACCAGAAACUCACGGGGAAAAGAGCAAUGACAGAAGUCGAUCUGGCCAGCGACAAACUGCCGAAAUGACGUAAUCACCGGGAAAUCAGAUUGUCAUUGACUUUGAAGAGCCUGAGGAUGCGGAGGAGAGAUCGGUGAUGUAGGUCAUGAUGGACCAACUCAAGUCAUUACAGGAGAAGGUAACCAGCAUGGAAACCUGACAAAGACCCGAGCCGACGGAGCCGACGCCGAAUUGACUCUUUCAGAAACGCCAAGUGAAGACUAAAUUGAAAAGAAAUCAUUUCUGGAACCUGAUAUUGGACACAUCGACUCUGGAUAGUUGGGGGGGAGGGGGAGUUCAUAGACAGAGCCUUGUGAAGGUCCAAUGGCUCAAGGCUGUAUGGGUUGAAGGAUAACCUGCUGAAACAAGAGUUCACUAAGAAACAGCAGGAGACCCUGGAGAAAUACAACUUCAGUGGGGAUAAUGUACCACCGUUUACAGAAAAGUGGGGUUUCCUGAAGAUUCUCAAUGACUAUGAAAAACGUGCGAAUAUGGCGGUGGACGGUUUCGCUUCUAAGUGGAAGCUUUCAAGUGUGCGGAGAACCUUUUCAAGGAACUACAAUGGACGAGCGCCGAGAGUCGUUGUUCCAAUGACGGUACCAGGUGCUUUAGAAGUUGUACGGCACCAAUUACUGCCGAGUUGCCAUAGUUGAGCAGUCUAACCUCAGGCCACGUCGAUUCCAGGACUUGCAUUCAUAUCUCACCGUCUACACCUGGUUAUGGAUUCUCGGAGGACAAGACGGACAUGCAGCAGAUUCGUCUGAGAGUCUGUUCGACUACUUGAAGUCAGAUAUAGCUUGACAGGCUAUUCAGCGGUUAGACCUGAGGCAAGGAGACGAGUUAUUGGACGAAUGUGCAGAAGCCAGAUCAGCAGUACUGGCGGAACAAGGUAAGACAGCUGAAGCGAGUUCGUUCAGCCAACAAAAACUUGAGCCACGAAGCGGGAAGAUGUUCAAAACAGAAACCCUACGGUUCUGAGAGAUUGGUACCAUUCCAACAGAUGUUUCAAGUGUCGAGGUAUGGGCCAUGUGUUGAAGGGCCGAGUCAAUGUCGGUACACACUGAUGAGGAGGAGUAUGCAUGAGUGUGAUAAACAAGCGGAUAACUGAAGCCCGUUGCGUAUAAUACCAUUGAUGUUUAUU
rnacentral:misc_RNA from 1 species